rnacentral:lncRNA from 1 species
GAUGCAUUAUAGCUGAAAUUUUGAAACACAAUUUUUCAAAAGUUAAUGUAUUUUAUUUAAUAUAUAACUAUAUUUUAAUAAUUUCAAUUUUAAUAUAGUAUUCUUUAAAAAUUUAUAUUUACUCUCUAUUUAAUACGUUUUAAUAUGCGCUAUGUUGCCAAAUUUAAUUUUGCCCCACCAAACACCAAAAAUAUUUUACCAUAGAAAUAAAAAGUCAAACUUUAAGGAUAUGAACAGCUA